UAACACAUGAAAGCCUUGGUGAUGUCAGCCUGCAUCACGCUGGGCAUUCAGGGUUCUGCUGACCCAGGAGCACAUCACCCAUUCCAGCUCUGCCAGUAGGUUCAGUCUAUAAAUGAGGUUUGAAUGCUGCUGUGGGAAGGAGGGGAGCUGUUCAGACAUUUGCCCCAGUUCCUGCAGUUGUUGCAGUGCUUUGUAAGCUGGCUGGGCUCCAUCCAGCCUUGCAUGGAAAUCUUGCUUUAGGGCCGAGGGCUUGGCAUUGUUGCAUAGAAUGCUCCUCUAGCUUGCCACUGCUUCAAGAAACCAUUGAUUAUUGGCAAUUUCUCCCUAAGUUUAUUUUUAACUACUUGAGAGUACUUUUAUAUGUAAAGGAUGUAGACAGCACAUAUUUACCUGGGGACAAAAAAGCAGGUUCUUGUUUGUCUGACAGAAGGAGAGUCAGCUGAUGAGUGCCUGAGUCAGCUUUUUAAAUACUGCAGGCCUAAACACCACUCCAACAGUUUACUCAUUUCGGUAAAGAUUUGGGUAUUUGAGUGGAGCAGUCACUAGUAAUUAUCCAAGUCAGUCUGACGCUUAUUAUCUUUAAUUAUGGAAAAAUAAGUUUUCCUUGCAGCUUGCAACAGCGUACAAGUGUGUGGUAUCAAAAUCACACUGUGUUUUCUGUCACAGUUUCUACUUAUUCCUUCAGAAUGUCUGCAAGUGAACAAAUCCACUGAGCCUUGCUGAGAUUUUACCUGAUAUUACCCAUGGAGUUCUUCACUUCAGAAACAGAUGCAAGAAGUGAUGGAUGGCACAAAAAAAUCAGCUUUUUCAAUGUUUAUUGGCUGGAAAAAGAGCAGGUGACCACAUCAGGAACACACAGUUUAGUGCAGUCUGAAGAUUUCAUGAUGGACUCCAUCCCACUGCUGAGUGGAGAUUUCUUCUCCUCAGACAGAAGACAUAAAUUUGACACCAACCAAGAGAAAAUUAGAGACUCCCUUGAGAUACAGAUCCAGAUGAGGUUGUGACCCCAAAUUGAGUCCAAAAGGAAGAGCAGCAGAAUGAGUGAGGCGUUGCCCCAGUGAAUGUCAAACAUUGCAGCUAUGUAGGAGUGGCCAGCCUGCAGCUCACAUCUGCUGGUUUUAUCUGCAAAGAACUUUCCCAAGAUGAGGUACCUACUCCCCAGUGUAAAUUGAGUUAUGAAAAUGCAGGAAAAUAUAUGAACUAGGCCUCACUGAUUUUUAUUAGUCUGAGUUGUAAAGAUUUACACAUAUGAAAAUGACAAUACCUUUCAUCUUGGAUGCUUAAACUGCAGGGUUGGAAUAGUCUGUAGGUAGAAAUUGCAGAUUGGUGAGUUCUGUGAUAGGUAAGACAAAAAGCCUUGUGUAUUUAGAAAUAUACUUUAAACGCUUUAUACACUAGGAUUUCAAAAUCAGUAGAAAUCCAUGCUAACAAAGUAAAACACAUAUCUUUUAAGUACAGCUUACACUGUCAAUAUGCAGAUUUUUGGAAAAUGCUUUGAACUGUGCCAUAAAAUCCAUGCAAGAGAUUAAAAAUUCCAUGUACUCCUUGGACACUUUCUCAUGUAGUCUCCAUUUGCUACAGAAAAAGUGAUUUGCUUGAGACUGAUAGCAUUCCCUCCAGUGCCAAAGUGCACUUAUCCUUAAUCAUCAAGGUGAACAAUGCUUCCCUCAGGGCACUACCUUUCUUCAGGUGAAAUUAAUCCUGAGAUUCUUGGUAUUAAGAGGCUCCCCAGAGGAAGGGUUGUGGAAAAAAGUUGUGGUUUUCUGAAAUGCAUCUGGUAAAAGAAGUUAAAAAUUGUCUGCUUUGGUUUGCAAAGAUGCAGUGUGUGACUUUUGAUACCAGAGUGAUGAAGGAAAUGUCAUCACAUCCCUGCUUAUAUUUUGGUUUGUCUUUUCUUUUUCUCACUGUCUAACCCAUGCACAGAUACACAUGCAAUCAAGGUUGAAAAAGUUUAUAACUAAUCCAAGAGCAAAUUAAAGCUAAUUCUCAACUACUUUAGAAAUA